rnacentral:rRNA from 1 species
CCAGCUCCAAUAGCGUAUAUUUAAGUUGUUGCAGUUAAAAAGCUCGUAGUUGGAUUUUGGGUUGGAGGAUUCGGUCUGCCGCGAGGUUUGAUACUGCUUCCUCCAUCCUUCUUGCCGGGGACGUGUCCUUGCCUUCACUGGCCGGGGCACGGAGUCGGCGAUGUUACUUUGAAAAAAUUAGAGUGUUCAACGCAGGCCUAUGCUCUGAAUACAUUAGCAUGGAAUAACGUGAUAGGACUCUGGUCCUAUUGUGUUGGUCUUCGGGACCGGAGUAAUGAUUAAUAGGGACAGUUGGGGGCAUUCGUAUUUCAUUGUCAGAGGUGAAAUUCUUGGAUUUAUGAAAGACGAACUACUGCGAAAGCAUUUGCCAAGGAUGUUUUCA